rnacentral:rRNA from 1 species
UACGAAGGUGCAAGCGUUAAUCGGAAUUACUGGGCGUAAAGGGUGCGUAGGCGGUUGUUUAAGUCUGUCGUGAAAUCCCCGGGCUCAACCUGGGAAUGGCGUGAUACUGGACGCUAGAGUGUGUCAGAGGAUGGUGGAAUUCCGGUGUAGCGGUGAAAUGCGUAGAGAUCGGGAGGAACAUCGAGUGGCGAAGGCGGCCAUCUGGGACAACACUGACGCUGAAGCACGAAAGCGAUGGGGGAGCCAAACAGGGAUUAAGAAACCCG